GUUGGUGAUUCAACGCAGUGGGUACACCUCUUCCCAUUCCGAACAGAGUAGUUAAGCACUGUAGUGGCAAUGAUACUCGUAAGGGGAAAGUAGCUAGUCGCCAACA
rnacentral:rRNA from 1 species